rnacentral:rRNA from 1 species
UUACCUGGUUGAUCCUGCCAGUAGUCAUAUGCUUGUCUCAAAGAUUAAGCCAUGCAUGUCUAAGUGCAAGCCAAAUUAAGGUGAAACCGCGAAUGGCUCAUUAAAUCAGUUAUGGUUCCUUAGAUAAUACACCAAGUUACUUGGAUAACUGUGGUAAUUCUAGAGCUAAUACAUGCAAACAGAGUUCCGACUCGAGAGGGAAGGAAUGCUUUUAUUAGAUCAAAACCAAUCGGUCCUCGGGCCGCAUUGCUUUGGUGACUCUGAAUAACUACUAAGCAGAUCGCACGGUCUCGCACCGGCGACGCAUCUUUCAAAUGUCUGCCUUAUCAACUGUCGAUGGUAGGUUCUGCGCCUACCAUGGUUGUAACGGGUAACGGGGAAUCAGGGUUCGAUUCCGGAGAGGGAGCCUGAGAAACGGCUACCACAUCCAAGGAAGGCAGCAGGCGCGCAAAUUACCCACUCCCGGCACGGGGAGGUAGUGACGAAAAAUAACGAUACGGGACUCAUCCGAGGCCCCGUAAUCGGAAUGAGCACAACUUAAAUACUUUCACGAGUAUCCAUUGGAGGGCAAGUCUGGUGCCAGCAGCCGCGGUAAUUCCAGCUCCAAUAGCGUAUAUUAAAGUUGUUGCGGUUAAAAAGCUCGUAGUUGGAUCUGUGUCCCACGCCGCCGGUUCGUCGCCCGUCGACGUAACCGCGCGGUCAAACUCAAGUGGGACGUCCAGCCGGUGAGGCGCAGGUCGUGCGUGUAGUGCGUGCCGGCGUGCGUGUGUCGUCCUCCGGGGCGCGCGCGCGCGCUCUCGUGCUUGCGCGCGGUGCCGGUCUCAUGUUUACUCGUCUCGGUGCUCUUAAUCGAGUGUCUUGACGGGCCGGCUCGUUUACUUUGAACAAAAUUAGAGUGCUUAAAAGCAGGCUCAAAUGCUUGAAUAUAUUGUGCAUGGAAUAAUUGGAAUAGGAUCUCGGUUCUAUUUUGUUGGUUUUCUGAACCAGAGAUAAUGAUUAAUAGAGACUGACGGGGGCAUUCGUAUUGCGACGUUAGAGGUGAAAUUCUUGGAUCGUCGCAAGACGAACUGAAGCGAAAGCGUUUGCCAAGAACGUUUUCUUUAAUCAAGAACGAAAGUUAG